GCCCCUCCUCUUGGCUCUGAUUGGUUGCUUCUAACUGGGGACGGUGCAGCUCUGCAGACUGCAGUAGCAGUUCCGGGUGGAGGUGGAGGAGCUCGAUGUCUUCAGAGAUUAUCUGUCUCAUACUGUCUGACUCUUUGCAAGACUUGAGGUGUAAAAAGGUGAAAGAGAGGCAAAGGGAGCCUGGUGGGCAGAAAGUCGGAGUCAGAUUCUCUCCUAUUGGUCAACAUCAAGAUCCCAGCUCCUCACACACACAAAACUUUAUUGAAAUCUUCCUUUUUAUUUCCCUUUGUUGUUGUUGUUGUUUUUUUUUUUCUCAACUCUUAGCAUACAGUCUCCAAGCUGCCGAUUUGCAACACUGCAAUACCCACCCUGCACCAGGAGAUGGCAGAUUGUCAACAGUAACAACAUCAAAAUUCCAAAGAAGAAGGCAAAGCAGAGCCUAGAAGCAAGAAUUUGUCCAAGUUUUCAACUUCACUGAACCCCGGUAAUGAUCUAUCGCUCGUUCUCCAACAGAAUUAUGGCUCAGAGCAAAUAAGCAUGCAUGGUUUAUUAAGCUGUGGGAAUGUUUUUUAACAACCUCCAUUUUUAUUUUGCCCUCGGGCGUCCAAUGAGUUCCAUACAUACGGCUGGAUGGUGCUUUUCUGUUGA